rnacentral:rRNA from 1 species
GAUGGCCAGGCUGUCUCCACCCGAGACUCAGUGAAAUUGAACUCGCUGUGAAGAUGCAGUGUACCCGCGGCAAGACGGAAAGACCCCGUGAACCUUUACUAUAGCUUGACACUGAACAUUGAGCCUUGAUGUGUAGGAUAGGUGGGAGGCUUUGAAGUGUGGACGCCAGUCUGCAUGGAGCCGACCUUGAAAUACCACCCUUUAAUGUUUGAUGUUCUAACGUUGACCCGUAAUCCGGGUUGCGGACAGUGUCUGGUGGGUAGUUUGACUGGGGCGGUCUCCUCCUAAAGAGUAACGGAGGAGCACGAAGGUUGGCUAAUCCUGGUCGGACAUCAGGAGGUUAGUGCAAUGGCAUAAGCCAGCUUGACUGCGAGCGUGACGGCGCGAGCAGGUGCGAAAGCAGGUCAUAGUGAUCCGGUGGUUCUGAAUGGAAGGGCCAUCGCUCAACGGAUAAAAGGUACUCCGGGGAUAACAGGCUGAUACCGCCCAAGAGUUCAUAUCGACGGCGGUGUUUGGCACCUCGAUGUCGGCUCAUCACAUCCUGGGGCUGAAGUAGGUCCCAAGGGUAUGGCUGUUCGCCAUUUAAAGUGGUACGCGAGCUGGGUUUAGAACGUCGUGAGACAGUUCGGUCCCUAUCUGCCGUGGGCGCUGGAGAACUGAGGGGGGCUGCUCCUAGUACGAGAGGACCGGAGUGGACGCAUCACUGGUGUUCGGGUUGUCAUGCCAAUGGCACUGCCCGGUAGCUAAAUGCGGAAGAGAUAAGUGCUGAAAGCAUCUAAGCACGAAACUUGCCCCGAGAUGAGUUCUCCCUGACUCCUUGAGAGUCCUGAAGGAACGUUGAAGACGACGACGUUGAUAGGCCGGGUGUGUAAGCGCAGCGAUGCGUUGAGCUAACCGGUACUAAUGAACCGUGAGG